CCGAAUGCCAAACUUCUAACCUCUAAGAACUGUGUUUGAUCUAAUUGGUUAGGGUUAAAUGCAUUUUACAAUUUCCAUUAUUCCAUCACGUGAAAAUGGUUGUAGCAAAAAGUGAAUCAUUGGAAAUUUUACGAUCAAAUUGGGAACAUUCUCCAAGUCUGACAUGUUUUAAAGCAGCACUGUCACCGUCUGGGGACUUUGCAUAAUUUGCAAAGACCCCCAACAGUGACAUUGGUAGUCCAGUGACCGGAGGGGGCAGGUAAAGGGGAGAUUUACUUACCUGAACCUGUCCCUUGCGGGCGCCGACAUCUCUUUCCGGACAGUCUUCUUCUGAGCCGACAUCACUGCUAUUCUCUUGAGCAUGCGCCUCAUCUUGUUACAUUUGAUUAUUAAUAAGUGAAAGGGAGCGAAAAAUUCUAAAGUCUACAGUGGCUGAGAGCACAAAGAACACAAAAAGCUGUGGAGGACUU